rnacentral:rRNA from 1 species
CGCUGAACUUAAGCAUAUCAAUAAGCGGAGGAAAAGAAACCAACAGGGAUUGCCUCAGUAACGGCGAGUGAAGCGGCAACAGCUCAAAUUUGAAAUCUGGUCCCCCGCAGGGGCCCGAGUUGUAAUUUGCAGAGGAGAUCUUCGGGUUUGGCCCCGGCCUAAGUUCCUUGGAACAGGACGUCACAGAGGGUGAGAAUCCCGUAUGUGGCUGGAGGUCUAUGCCCAUGUGAAGCUCCUUCGACGAGUCGAGUUGUUUGGGAAUGCAGCUCAAAAUGGGUGGUAAGUUUCAUCUAAAGCUAAAUACCGGCGGGAGACCGAUAGCGCACAAGUAGAGUGAUCGAAAGAUGAAAAGCACUUUGGAAAGAGAGUUAAAAAGUACGUGAAAUUGUUGAAAGGGAAGCGCUUGCGACCAGACUUGCCCUCGGCUGAUCAAUCGGUGUUCCUCACCGGUGCACUCGGUCGUGGUCAGGCCAGCAUCGGUCUGGGCGGUUGGAGAAAGACCCCGUGGAAUGUGGCUCCCCUCGGGGAGUGUUAUAGCCCGGGGUGUCAUGCAGCCAGCCUGGACCGAGGACCGCGCCUUCGGGCUAGGAUGCUGGCGUAAUGGUCGUAAGCGACCCGUCUUGAAACACGGACC